CAGGCCUCCUGAUGAAGCUUCUCAGCGAGCAGCGAGAAGUAAAGGUGUCCAAGGCAGAGUGGGAUACGGACCAAUGGGAAAAUGCGAAUUAUAUCAAUGAGAGCACAGAAGUCCAGAGUGAACAGAGAGGGCAGGAGUCAAGGGAGCUCACAAAAGUUCCAGGCUAUGGCUAUACCAACAAACUCAUCUUGGCAAUAUCUGUGACUGGUAGUAGUUUGUGACGGUUUUGAUCCUAGUUUUCUGUCUCAUUGAGAGUUGUUAUCAUAGAGCAGCAGCCAAGGAAGGUAAAGAAGGAAGCUCAAGCCAGGAAAUCACCAAAGGCAGAAAGGAUACAUAUUUGGCCUAAUGCUUUGCCUGGAUCCAGCAAAGUUAGCUGCCCAGCCAAACCCGAGUUAGAAUGGGGCUGGCACAGAGCACCUGCUCACUAGACCUUUAAAGAAAGAUCUUGGGGGGGGGGGG